rnacentral:rRNA from 1 species
CUGCGCCACAAGUGGCAAUCAUGUUUAUUGGGCCUAAAGCGUUCGUAGCCGGAUAGAUAAGUCUUGAGUGAAAUCGUUGCGCUUAACAAAACGACGUGCUUGAGAUACUGUUUAUCUUGGGACCGGGAGGAGUCUGGGGUAUUCCUGAGGGAGCGGUAAAAUGCUAUAAUCUCAGGAGGACCACCUGUGGCGAAGGCGCCAGACUAGAACGGGUUCGACGGUGAGGGACGAAAGCUAGGGGAGCAAAACGGAUUAGAUACCCGAGUAGUCC